UCUACCAUUUAGGAGAGGGCUUUGGGCUGAAAUAAAGAUCUGGAGUCAUCAGAAACACGCAAUGGCAGGAGCCAUCAGCUAGUGGAAGAGCAACAACAGACUCAGAAGGAAAGAAGCAGAGGAUGAAGGCUGAAGAAUACUACUAUUUAAAAGAUGGAGUUAUUAAAAAGCCAUUAAUGGAAGCUGAGGAAUGAGGAGAGACAGAGAAGGAAAGCCAGGAGACGGUGGUCUCUCAGGAAGACCAGAAGGAGCAUUUCAAGAAGGAAGGAGAGACUAAGCCUGAGCGCUACAGAAACACCAACUUGAGGCCUGCAACGGGAGGAGGCAUUUUGAUGAUUUCAUGGCGGGGCAGGAGUGAGUUUCACCUGGUUUCCUAAACUCUAUACAACGUUGCGGUUUGCCUUGUCCAAAGAGACUGUCUUACAAGCAGGGCUCUUUUCUGCUUACCAAAAAUAACAAGAACGCUUUUCAUUUCAGAUGCUGAGUGGUGUGCCCUCUUCAAAACCUCUCACCUCCCAGGAACUUCACUGUGUAGGGGGGAGGUUUUGGUUUUGUUUUUUUGAAAGAUGAAAGAGACUUGAGAAUAUUUAUAUUCUGAUCAGAGGAAGCCAGUAGCAAGGGAGAGGCUGUAGCUACAGGCACAGAAGGGUUAGCUGUGCGAACAAGGUUCUGUAAGGGGGAGAAUCUGGAGAGCAGGUGGUGAGAACCCCUCUCGCACUGAGGUGGAUCUGAGCAGACAUGUCAGUUGCAUCGCAUGGUUGGUGCUGUGUGUGUGCUGUGUGUGUGCAGUGUGUGUGUCAACAUGUGCGCUCAUUCCUCCUGACAUCUAUUUUCUGUCAGUAACAGAUUUCUGGAAACAACUAGGGGCCUAGCUGAGAAGGUGAUCCCAGGAGGCUGCAAGUUAAUGCUGAGCUUCUGAUGCUGUUAGACGUGUGACAUGAAUGUCAAGAGCUCUUCAGAAACCAAGGAAAGUUGAAGAUUCCUGCACUCAGUCAUGGAA